rnacentral:rRNA from 1 species
GGCCUACCAUGGUGGUAACGGGUAACGGGGUGUUAGGGCACGACACCGGAGAGGGAGCCUGAGAAACGGCUACCACAUCCAAGGAUGGCAGCAGGCGCACAAAUUACCCAAUCCCGACAAGGGGAGGUAGUGACAAUAAAUAACAAUACGGGGUUCUUUUGGAUCUCGUAAUUGGAAUGAGUACAAUUUAAAUCUCUUAACGAGGAACAAUUGGAGGGCAAGUCUGGUGCCAGCAGCCGCGGUAAUUCCAGCUCCAAUAGCGUAUAUUAAAGUUGUUGCAGUUAAAAAGCUCGUAGUUGAAUUUCGGGAUCAGUAGGUUGGUCGUGCCACUGGUAUGCACUGGCCUUACUGAUUCCUCCUUCUUGUAGAACCGUAAUGCCAUUAAGUUGGUGUUGCGGGGAAACAGGACUGUUACUUUGAAAAAAUUAGAGUGUUUAAAGCAGGCUAACGCUUGAAUACAUUAGCAUGGAAUAAUGAAAUAGGACCUUCGAUCCUAUUUUGUUGGUUUCUAGGAUUGACGUAAUGAUUAAUAGGGAUAGUUGGGGGCAUUAGUACUCAAUUGUCAGAGGUGAACUUCUUGGAUUUAUUGAAGACUAACUACUGCGAAAGCAUUUGCCAAGGAUGUUUUCAUUAAUCAAGAACGAAAGUUAGGGGAUCGAAGACGAUCAGAUACCGUCGUAGUCUUAACCAUAAACUAUGCCGACUAGGGAUCGGAUGAUGUUAAUUUUUUAAUGACUCAUUCGGCGCCUUACGGGAAACCAAAGUGUUUGGGUUC